UAUGGACGAAAUGAAAAACACUCAGUAAAUGAAAAAGAAACUACAAAAAUCUCAUAGCCUGCAACUCUCAUUACGUGAUAAUGUCAUGGAACUACGAUUUUCUUGCAUAACAUUUUUUCAUUACUCUUCUUAUCGUCAUUAUACCUUUCGCUUUGCCUGC
rnacentral:ribozyme from 1 species